AAAAACAUGGCCUUUUGAUUAUAAUUUAAGGUCUAACCUGCUCCAUGAAUUUAGUUUUAAAUAGCCGCAGUAUCUUGACUGUGCAAAGGUAGCAUAAUCAUUAGUUUUUUAAUUGAAAGCUGGAAUGAAAGGUUGAAUGAGAAAAUUACUGUCUCUAUAAAAAUUUUUUAGAAUUUUAUUUUUAAGUAAAAAAGCUUAAAUAAUAAUAAAAGACGAGAAGACCCUAUAGAGUUUUAUAUUUAUUAUAAAUACUUCUUUUAGUAUUAUAAAAUUUAUUUAUAUAUAAUAUUUGGUUGGGGUGAUUAGAAAAUUAGUUAAACUUUUCUUUUAUUUAUACAUUUAUUUAUGAUUUAAUGAUCCUUUUUAAAGAUUAUAAGAUUAAAUUACCUUAGGGAUAACAGCGUAAUUUUUUUUGAGAGUUCUUAUCGAAAGAAAAGAUUGCGACCUCGAUGUUGGAUUAAAAUAAAUUUUUGGUGUAGGAGCUAAAUUAAUUGGGUCUGUUCGACCCUUAAAAUUUUACUUGAUCUGAGUU
rnacentral:rRNA from 1 species